AACGCUGGCGGCGCGCCUAACACAUGCAAGUCGAACGAGCGAGAGAGAGCUUGCUUUCUCGAGCGAGUGGCGAACGGGUGAGUAACGCGUGAGGAACCUGCCUCAAAGAGGGGGACAACAGUUGGGAACGACUGCUAAUACCGCAUAAGCCCACGACCCGGCAUCGGGUUGAGGGAAAAGGAGCAAUCCGCUUUGAGAUGGCCUCGCGUCCGAUUAGCUAGUUGGUGAGGUAACGGCCCACCAAGGCAACGAUCGGUAGCCGGACUGAGAGGUUGAACGGCCACAUUGGGACUGAGACACGGCCCAGACUCCUACGGGAGGCAGCAGUGGGGAAUAUUGCACAAUGGGGGAAACCCUGAUGCAGCGACGCCGCGUGGAGGAAGAAGGUCUUCGGAUUGUAAACUCCUGUUGUUGGGGAAGAUAAUGACGGUACCCAACAAGGAAGUGACGGCUAACUACGUGCCAGCAGCCGCGGUAAAACGUAGGUCACAAGCGUUGUCCGGAAUUACUGGGUGUAAAGGGAGCGCAGGCGGGAAGACAAGUUGGAAGUGAAAUCCAUGGGCUUAACCCAUGAACUGCUUUCAAAACUGUUUUUCUUGAGUAGUGCAGAGGUAGGCGGAAUUCCCGGUGUAGCGGUGGAAUGCGUAGAUAUCGGGAGGAACACCAGUGGCGAAGGCGGCCUACUGGGCACCAACUGACGCUGAGGCUCGAAAGUGUGGGUAGCAAACAGGAUUAGAUACCCUGGUAGUCCACACCGUAAACGAUGAUUACUAGGUGUUGGAGGAUUGACCCCUUCAGUGCCGCAGUUAACACAAUAAGUAAUCCACCUGGGGAGUAC
rnacentral:rRNA from 1 species